UUUUGAGAUUUUUUGUUUUAAACCUUUCCCAAACCUUAACCCUUACCUUUCAGACUUAAUGCCUAAGCUUAACCUUAAAGACUUUGACAUUUGACGUUUGCAACAACUUUGGAAUGUGUUGUGAGAAACAUGGAUGAACGUCUAAUUCUGACCGGCGACCAGUGGCGAACCGUGAUUAUCGGACCUACUGUAGGCCUUCAACCCAUGUGAUGCAGUAGCAGGCGUAAUAAGCGGAAUUUGCUGUACAACCUUCGUGUAUAUGUUUAAUGUGUGUCUAAUUUGGCCAUUGCCAACACUAAAUAUGUCAAUUAAAACAUAGUUUUUG